GACGAACCGUGCGAACGUUGUUCGGAUUCACUGGGCUUAAAGGGCGCGUAGGCGGGUUCGCAAGUCGGGGGUGAAAUCUUUCAGCUUAACUGGAAAAUAGCCUUCGAUACUGCGAGUCUUGAGGAAGGUAGGGGCAUCUGGAACAGCCGGUGGAGCGGUGAAAUGCGUUGAUAUCGGCUGGAACUCCGGUGGCGAAGGCGAGAUGCUGGACCCUUUCUGACGCUGAGGCGCGAAAGCCAGGGGAGCGAACGGG
rnacentral:rRNA from 1 species